rnacentral:rRNA from 1 species
AGUGAACGCUGGCGGUAGGCCUAACACAUGCAAGUCGAACGGCAGCACAGUAAGAGCUUGCUCUUACGGGUGGCGAGUGGCGGACGGGUGAGGAAUACAUCGGAAUCUACUUUUUCGUGGGGGAUAACGUAGGGAAACUUACGAUAAUACCGCAUACGACCUACGGGUGAAAGCAGGGGAACUUCGGACCUUGCGCGAUUGAAUGAGCCGAUGUCGGAUUAGCUAGUUGGCGGGGUAAAGGCCCACCAAGGCGACGAUCCGUAGCUGGUCUGAGAGGAUGAUCGGCCGCACUGGAACUGAGACACGGUCCAGACUCCUACGGGAGGCAGCAGUGGGGAAUAUUGGACAAAGGGCGCAAGCCUGAUCCAGCCAUACCGCGUGGGUGAAGAAGGCCUUCGGGUUGUAAAGCCCUUUUGUUGGGAAAGAAAAGCAGCAGGUUAAUACCCCGCUGUUCUGACGGUACCCAAAGAAUAAGCACCGGCUAACUUCGUG